AUAUAUAUAUAUAUAUAUAUAUGUUUGUUUAAAAUGAAGCUGUCAUAUUUUGUGCACAAAUCAAUAGCUUAAAUUAUAAUUUGUGAGUUUUUAGUGAAGGGUGAGUAGAAGGAAUAUCAUAAUAUCCUUCACAAAAUAAUAAUAAUAUCAAUAAAUAAUAAAUUGGUAAUUAUAUCAUUUUAUAGUUUUUAAUAUUCAAACUUAUAUCACAUUAAAUUUAGUAUUUUUUUUUCCAUACUGUAUAAAACUAAAGUAUCAUAAUAAGCAAGAAUUCAAAACUUCUUAAUGUAGAAAGAUUCAAAGAUUUAAAGACAUCAAAUGUAAUGUUGUUAAGUCAUUUUUGAUUAAAUGCAUUUUUGAAAGUAGGAAAUGUAUUAUAUAUAUAUAUAUAUAUAUAUAUAUAUAUAAUACACAUAUACAUGUUAACAUUUUAAAAUAUACAAACAAACACACACAAUCACACACAUGUA
rnacentral:lncRNA from 1 species